GCGUUUUGAUAGAAUUAAGCGCUACAAAAUUUGACGGGAAGAACUACUCAAAAACCAAAUAGAAAAUAGAAACGCAUGAGCCUUCGUUGCCAAGUCUUCUCCUUUUACAGCUAUAAACUUAAUUAGAAUAGAGAGUGAAUUGAGCAGAGAUCAUUCGAGGUUAAAAAUGUCGGACAAAUUUAGUGGCAUAAUGGAAUCAGUUGGGUCCAUUUUCAGAUCGGGAGAUUAUCUCCCCUGGACCGAUUCCGAUAUAAUUGCUAACUGUGAAAGGGAAGCAGCUGGACAGUGGGCCGAAGUCACAAAAGAUUCAGACAAGAAAGAGAGUAUUAUGAGGUUGUCUUGGGCACUUGUACAUUCACGACAAGCUGCAGAUGUACAACGAGGAAUAGCAAUGUUGGAAGUUGCCUUAAAUAAUGGUGGGGGACCUCUACAAAGGAAAGAGAUACUUUAUCUUCUUGCAGUGGGUCACUUCAGGGCAGGUGAUUAUACAAGGAGCAGGCGUUAUAUAGAGCAAGCAUUGCAGAUUGCUCCAGACUUCAGACAAGCACUGACAUUGAAGAAAUCAAUUGAAGACAAGAUAACUAAAGAUGGUGUUAUUGGGAUAGGUAUUGCAGCAACCGCUGUAGGACUUGUUGCUGGCAGCCUUGCAGCAGCAUUGGCUCGGAAAAAGUGACAGUGUCUUGAAACUUUUAGAUGCCAAUGGACAAUUCUCCAGCAUCUAUGUGGGAAGUUUCCUGUAAAUACAAUUGAAUCAUCUUCAAACAAUAUUGGCAUUUGUUAACUUUUAAUGGCCUGUUAUAAUUUAAUCUAUGUCGUUGUUAUAGUAUGAACUUAGUGUGUAGAUUUUAUGCAUGGUCUGGAGCAUUCUCAAGGCUUGUUUUGAGAGUUUGCCUUUGUAUGGUUGAACCAUUCAAUAUUAUGGUAGAUGCCGUGUCAGUAUUUUAGACAGAGUGUUUAAUCAUCAGAGAUUCAAAGUUUGUGACUUGUAUAGUAUUUAACUCAGUAUGAUUACAUGGAAAUUCUCAUAAAAUGUUUCAAAAUUGGCUCCCGUAGAUUUUAGUAGUGUGGUUUUUUAGCAGUGCGAUAGUGAGCAUAUGUUAUGAGUGUCGUCCAAGUUACAUUCACAGAACUUUGUGACAAUUAUUAACUCAUCUGUUCCAUACUGUCAAACUUCAAAACUUGGCAGAAAUAAUAAACUAAUUGACAAAAAACAACAACAGUUGACU